UGAAUACGAGACGCUAAGGCGUCGAAGUAGUGUAUGUCAUACUUCCAAGAAAAGCUUGCACUGUCAUAGACAAAAAACGCCUGUACCAUAACCGACACAGGUGGGUAGGUAGAGUAUACUAAGGGGCGCGAGAUAACUCUCUCUAAGGAACUCGGCAAAAUAACUCCGUAACUUCGGGAGAAGGAGUGCCUUAUUCGUAAGGUUGCAAUAACAAGAUCCAAGCAACUGUUUAUCAAAAACACAGGUCUCCGCUAAGUCGUAAGACGAUGUAUGGGGGCUGACGCCUGCCCAGUGCCAGAAGGUUAAAGAAGUUGGUUAGCAAUUGCGAAGCUGAUAACUGAAGCCCUGGUGAACGGCGGCCGUAACAAUAACGGUCCUAAGGUAGCGAAAUUCCUUGUCGGGUAAGUUCCGACCCGCACGAAAGGCGUAAUGAUUUGGAUACUGUCUCGGAGAGGGGCUCGGUGAAAUAGACUUGUCUGUGAAGAUGCGGACUACCUGCACCAGGACAGAAAGACCCUAUGAAGCUUUACUGUAACUUGAAAUUGAAAUUGGACUUUAUUCGCGCAGUAUAGGUGGGAGGCGUUGAUUAUAAUCUUGUGGGAUUAUUGGAGCCAUCAGUGAGAUACCACUCUUGUAAUGUUAGAUUUCUAACUUUGAAUCAUUAUCUGGUCAAAGAACAGUUUCAGGCGGGCAGUUUGACUGGGGCGGUCGCCUCCUAAACGGUAACGGAGGCGUACAAAGGUUUCCUCUGAACGGUUAGAAAUCGUAUCUAGAGUGUAAAGGCAUAAGGAAGCUUGACUGUGAGACCUACAAGUCGAGCAGGGACGAAAGUCGGUCUUAGUGAUCUGACGGUACUGAGUGGAAAGGCCGUCACUCAACGGAUAAAAGUUACUCUAGGAUAACAGGCUGAUCUCCCCCAAGAAUUCACAUCGACGGGGAGGUUUGGCACCUCGAUGUCGGCUCAUCGCAUCCUGGGGCGGUAGUACGUCCCAAGGGUUGGGCUGUUCGCCCAUGAAAGCGGUAUGCGAGCUGGGUUCAGAACGUCGUGAGACAGUUCGGUCCAUAUCCGGUGUAGGCGUUAGAAUAUUGAGAGGAGCCUUCUUUAGUACGAGAGGACCGAGAAGGACAUACCUCUGGUGUACCAGUUAUCGUGCCAACGGUAAACGCUGGGUAGCUAUGUAUGGAGUGGAUAACCGCUGAAAGCAUCUAAGUGGGAAGCCCACCUCAAGAUAAG
rnacentral:rRNA from 1 species